rnacentral:rRNA from 1 species
AUUGAACGCUGGCGGCAGGCCUAACACAUGCAAGUCGAGCGGAGCGGCGGACGGGUGAGUACUGCCUAGGAAUCAGCCUGGUAGUGGGGGAUAACGUCCGGAAACGGGCGCUAAUACCGCAUACUAUCAGAUGAGCCUCGGUCGGAUUAGCUAGUUGGUGGGGUAAAGGCCUACCAAGGCGACGACCCGUAACUGGUCUGAGAGGAUGAUCAGUCAAACUGGAAAUGAGACACGGUCCCGAUUCCUACGUGAGGCAGCAGUGGGGAAUAUUGGACAAUGUGCGAAAGCCUGAUCCAGCCAUGCAGCGUGUAUGAAGAAGGUCUUCGGGUUGUAAAGCACUUUAAGUUGGGAGGCGUUACCAGCAGAAUAAGCACCGGCUAACUACGUGCCAGCAGCCGCGGUAAUAC